ACUUUGAGAGAGAGUUCAAGAGUACGUGAAACUGCUCAGAKGCAAACGGGUGGGCCCUCKAAAUCCCGUUGCGGGGGGAUUCAGGCGGKAGCCGCGGGGGAGCGGCCGGCUGCCGGCACCGACCUCKAUACAGGCGGAGCCGGCGGUUCGGUCUCCGCGGUGCCCGUCGCACUUCCUCCCGCACUGAGGACGCCGCAGCCCGUUCGGUAGAGGCGAGAGUCUGCCGURAGGCGGGGAACGGCAGUUGGCCGGGUUCCGUUCCUAGCGUUCGGUCUCCGGUUGCUAGCCGCCCCGUCCGAGGCGGGACACCGGACGGAGGCACAAGUCUCCUAUUUUAGGAGGCUCGCCGUCCCCUUCCWAGCGAUGCGCGCUCCGGAUGGCUGGUGCUCGUCUGGAGGCUGGGAGUCACUCCCGAGAGUGGCCCCGGCCUUCUGCACCUCCGCAGGCCGACCGGAAACGCGCGGAGGGGAACGACGGCUGGCGGCGAGUAGGUCGGUCACCCACCCGACCCGUCUUGAAACACGGACCAAGGAGUCUAACAGGUGCGCGARUCUCAGGGUCUUGACCAGGCCCUGGGGCGGAAUGAAGGUGACGGAAUCCUMGAGUUUCCGAGCGUUGGGACCGGUGGUUAUC
rnacentral:rRNA from 1 species